rfam:Methanobrevibacter smithii ATCC 35061, complete genome.
GCCUAUAUAGUUCAGAAGGUAGAACGAUUGACUCGUAAUCAAUAGGUCUGGGGUUCGAUUCCCCAUGUGGGCU